GACGAACGCUGGCGACGUGCUUAACACAUGCAAGUCGAACGGAAAGGCCCUGCUUUUGUGGGGUGCUCGAGUGGCGAACGGGUGAGUAACACGUGAGUAACCUGCCCUUGACUUUGGGAUAACUUCAGGGAACUGGGGCUAAUACCGGAUAGGAGCUCCUGCUGCAUGGUGGGGGUUGGAAAGUUUCGGCGGUUGGGGAUGGACUCGCGGCUUAUCAGCUUGUUGGUGGGGUAGUGGCUUACCAAGGCUUUGACGGGUAGCCGGCCUGAGAGGGUGACCGGCCACAUUGGGACUGAGAUACGGCCCAGACUCCUACGGGAGGCAGCAGUGGGGAAUAUUGCACAAUGGGCGGAAGCCUGAUGCAGCAACGCCGCGUGCGGGAUGACGGCCUUCGGGUUGUAAACCGCUUUCGCCUGUGACGAAGCGUGAGUGACGGUAAUGGGUAAAGAAGCACCGGCUAACUACGUG
rnacentral:rRNA from 1 species